rnacentral:misc_RNA from 1 species
UCCCAAAGACCUGUGAACUAAAAACCCAAUCACUGGCGACUCGUUCUUCAGCGAUGUGGGACGAAUGAGUAGUAGCAACGCCUUUCUUCUGUGCAUUGGCGAGGUUGAGGGGUAGGCAAUGGCAUGACCCUGUCCUCUGUUGCAAAGAGAUUAAGGGGUGGGGGAUUAGUGCAGAGGAGAGACCGACUGGACUGACCGAGAGAGGCUGUGGGAGAGGAAAAUUUGUGAAGAUGGUGAGGGAAUUGGGGGAAGGAAAUAAGAGGGAGC